rnacentral:rRNA from 1 species
CGAACGGGUGAGUAACGCGUGGAAAACCUGCCGUAUACUGGGGGAUAACACUUAGAAAUAGGUGCUAAUACCGCAUAAGCGCACAGCUUCGCAUGAAGUGGUGUGAAAAACUCUGGUGGUAUACGAUGGUUCCGCGUCUGAUUAGCUUGUUGGCGGGGUAAUGGCUCACCAAGGCGACGAUCAGUAGCCGGCCUGAGAGGGUGAACGGCCACAUUGGGACUGAGACACGGCCCAAACUCCUACGGGAGGCAGCAG